UACAGCAGCCGCUUGCGGUCUGUAUACAGGUGCUGCAUGGCUGUCGUCAGCUCGUGCCGUGAGGUGUGGGUUAAGUCCCGCAACGAGCGCAACCCUACUUUUUAGUUGCCAUCAGGUUAAGCUGGGCACUCUAAAGAGACUGCCGUCGAUAAGGCGGAGGAAGUGGGGACGGACGUCAAGUCAUCAUGGCCCUUAUGUCUAGGGCUACACACGUGCUACAAUGGGUUAUACAGAGGGCAGCUAGCUCGCGAGAGUCUGCGAAUCCCUUAAAGUAAUCCUCAGUUCGGAUUGUAGUCUGCAACUCGACUACAUGAAGUUGGAAUCGCUAGUAAUCGCAGGUCAGCAAAACUGCGGUGAAUACGUUCCCGGGCCUU
rnacentral:rRNA from 1 species